GGGUUGUGAGGUUAAGCGACUAAGCGUACACGGUGGAUGCCCUGGCAGUCAGAGGCGAUGAAGGACGUGCUAAUCUGCGAUAAGCGUCGGUAAGGUGAUAUGAACCGUUAUAACCGGCGAUUUCCGAAUGGGGAAACCCAGUGUGAUUCGUCACACUAUCGUUAACUGAAUACAUAGGUUAACGAAGCGAACCGGGGGAACUGAAACAUCUAAGUACCCCGAGGAAAAGAAAUCAACCGAGAUU
rnacentral:rRNA from 2 species